UCUCUGUUAGUAUAUCGGUUAGUACACGCGCCUGUCAUCAGUUCUUGAGGCCGCGCGAAAGCGGGGUUCGACUCCCCGACAGAGAG